ACCCUUUCAAUCGGAGCUUAACCCUAGCCCCAAUGACUGACAAGCGGGUUCCGGCUGGGUCACCAUCGUCCUCUAACGGCGCACACCAACCUCACACCGACGAGUCACCAGAGCGGGAUUUCUAGUGGCCACCGCUUUAGAAAACCCUCCCGAGUCACAGCAAAGAGAGAGGGCCACCUCCUAGUAGCACCGGGUCUUACCUAUCCCGUCUCGUCGAGCAGUUUCCAGAGAGGGAGAGCCACUACGAACACCGAC
rnacentral:lncRNA from 1 species